ACAUACGACCAUAGGAUCUUGAGAACAAGGCUCCCCGUUCGCUCAGCCCUCUUUAAGCAAGAUACCGGCGGAUUAGUAGUUAGGUGGGUGACCACUAGCGAAUCCCCGCUGUUGUAUGUU
rfam:Pyrenophora teres f. teres 0-1 contig_006125, whole genome shotgun sequence.